CUUGUUAGUACUGGAUGGGAGACCGCCUGGGAAUACCGAG
rnacentral:rRNA from 1 species